rnacentral:rRNA from 1 species
CGAACGAAGCGCUUAAAUGGAUUUCUUCGGAUUGAAGUUUUUGUGACUGAGUGGCGGACGGGUGAGUAACGCGUGGGCAACCUGCCUCAUACAGGGGGAUAACAGUUAGAAAUGACUGCUAAUACCGCAUAAGCGCACAGUGCUGCAUGGCACAGUGUGAAAAACUCCGGUGGUAUGAGAUGGACCCGCGUCUGAUUAGCUAGUUGGUGGGGUAACGGCCUACCAAGGCGACGAUCAGUAGCCGGCCUGAGAGGGUGAACGGCCACAUUGGGACUGAGACACGGCCCAAACUCCUACGGGAGGCAGCAGUGGGGAAUAUUGCACAAUGGGGGAAACCCUGAUGCAGCGACGCCGCGUGAGCGAAGAAGUAUUUCGGUAUGUAAAGCUCUAUCAGCAGGGAAGAAAAUGACGGUACCUGACUAAGAAGCACCGGCUAAAUACGUGCCAGCAGCCGCGGUAAUACGUAUGGUGCAAGCGUUAUCCGGAUUUACUGGGUGUAAAGGGAGCGUAGACGGUUGUGUAAGUCUGAUGUGAAAGCCCGGGGCUCAACCCCGGGACUGCAUUGGAAACUAUGUAACUAGAGUGUCGGAGAGGUAAGCGGAAUUCCUAGUGUAGCGGUGAAAUGCGUAGAUAUUAGGAGGAACACCAGUGGCGAAGGCGGCUUACUGGACGAU